CUGAAAUACAGUUCGCACAGGGGGAUCGGAAGACACCAAAUCAAAUGAAAGCCAAGGAAGGGAGGAAUGUAUACAGCUCUUCACGAUAUGACGAUUAUGACCGAAUAGACGUUCUCGAAGCCAAAGUUAUGAAAGGAGGAGAUCAAGGAGUUGCUCCUUUGAUUAUAACUAUAGGAGAGCUUACAGUCCUAGAAAUAGACCGACUGGAAGACCAUGGUGUAGCCGAAGCCAUUGCGACAAUGAUAGAUUCAAACACUGAAAUUGAUCUUUUUCAAGAUCUAAAUCCAGUUCAAGAUCACAGUCCAAGUCCCAGCCCAAGAAAGAAAUGAAGGCUAAAUCACGUUCUAGGUCUGCAUCUCACACCAAAACUAGAGGCAUCUCUAAAACAGAUUUCAAAACACAUUAUAAGUCUGGCU
rnacentral:lncRNA from 1 species